AUGGUCCCGCUUCGGCGCCUUCCGGCGCUGCCGCUAACGCGUGGCUCCACGCGCCGCCGCCUCCUCGCCACCGGGGCCUCACCGCUCCCAUGGCCGGGCCUUCACACCUGGCGCCGGGCCCCUCCCAGCGACCUCCGCUCGUGGGGCCCCAGCGGCCCCUGCGCCCCGAACACGGACGAGGCGGGCGCGCCAGAAGCCGGCGCCGGAGCCGGCCACGGCUCGUCGCUGGCCGAGAUGGGCGCCCUCGUGCUGUCCACCGCCGCCCCCCUCGGCAAGGCGCACCUCACCCACGCCGCCUUCUCCCGGUGGGCGGCAGGCGGGCUCCCCGUGGGCCUUGCGCGGGCCCCCGACCACCCCGCCAGGCCGGAAAAGCCCCUCGCGGUGACUCAGAAGGAGGUCCCCACGCACAAGGCGAUGGGGGUGCCGCUAAACGCGUACAUGCUCCACAACCUGGCGCACGUGGAGCUCAAUGCCAUCGACCUUGCCUGGGAUACUGUGGUGCGGUUCUCGCCGCUCCGGGACACCCUGGGAGAUGGCUUCUUUGCCGAUUUUGCGCGUGUGGCCGACGACGAGAGCCGGCAUUUUCGGUGGUAUUCACAGCGGCUUGCCGAGCUUGGGUUCAGAUAUGGCGAUAUGCCUGUCCACAAUCUUCUGUGGAGGGAGUGUGCAAAAUCCUCAAGUGAUGUUUCUGCACGGAUGGCUGUUAUACCUCUAGUACAGGAAGCUAGAGGCCUUGAUGCUGGACCAAGACUAGUCCAGAAGUUAAUUGGCUUUGCGGAUCAUAGAUCUGCCGACAUUGUGGCAAAAGUAGCAGAGGAAGAGCUUGCACAUGUUUCUGUAGGUUUAUAUUGGUUCCUGAAAGUAUGCGAAAUGAUGGGCCGUGUCCCUGGUGCUGCUUUUAGAGACUUGAUAAAGGAGCAUGAUGUUGUAAUGAGGGGUCCAUUUAAUUACCAAUCUCGUGAUGAAGCUGGUAUACCUCGAGAAUGGUACGAUGAGACGCUUAAACCUGAAGUUGCAAGCAACCUUUCAGAGGUGCAUGAUAGGCUAGCAUGUGUUGUUGAGAUGGAGAGAGAGAAUGCUAGUUUGAAUGGCUAAGUCUCACAUGACGAAUACAUGAGAGACUUGGUACGUACGACGCAGAUAUUCUAGCACACUGAUACUUUUUUCUUGGUUUAUUUUGAUGCCAACCACCACCAAACUGCUUUCAUCCCUUGUCUAUAUUCUACUUAUUGGACCUUUCCAGUUUGACAUACAUGAUCACAUCUAUUAUGUCGUAUUAUCAUUAUGGAAAAGAUAAGAUUUUUUUUUGUUAUGCUAGUAUGCAUCAGCUGAUUCAGCUAUAUGUGCACUUCGAAUGAUUGUAGGAAAGAAAAACACCGAGUGUUCAAGUUGUUGACAGUGGGGUCCUGCCUGCCAGUCGGCUUCACAAGCCAAGGAUUAGGGACGCACAAAGUUUCCUUAGCCUCAAAGUUUUUGAUGGGCAAGCACCCAUAAUUAGGAAUGCAAGUUGGGCAGGGGUACCCCCUAAGCCAUCCUAGUUAUUUUGCUUCACAACUAACACGAGGAUUAUGGACAGCAAUUAGCAGGAAAUGAACCACCAAUUGAAUGAAAUGGAUGGAUGUAUUGAUUGACCCACCUGCAUCACUUUGCCAGAAUAGCCAUCCUGAUAAAUUUACAGUCUAGUAUAUACCUGCUCAAAUGUCAUGAACAAAAAGGACCUGAACAUUCUUUUUUCUGCAUGUGUAUAAGUGUAUUCCACAACACGCAAGGCCUCAUGUAGUUGGCUUCAUUCUCAAAUGGGACGCGCUUCUGGUGCCCUUUGAUCAGUUAACUAAAGUAAGAAAGCAUUUGCAGUAGGUAGCCCUCUAUUUUUUUCGGGGUAAAAAUAGAAAGCAUCGGCUCAAUAUCAUUGCAGUGGUGUAAAUUGGUGAAUACCAUCCAAUGUAAGGAUGGCAUGUGGGGCCUGAGGCCACAUGUUAGUGUCAAUCCUGGACGCUAUUCUCUUGCGUGAUCGAGCAAUAUUGCCCUUUAAAGUAAGCUUCUGGUACCAGGAUGAACACAAAUCCGGUUUGUUGUUUCCUUGUCACGUACACUUCUGUUUCUCCAUCCAAUGGGUUGAUGGCACGGCACAGAGUUUAACAAAUUACGUAGAUUUCUGCUGCUAAACACCAAUUUUCUUCUCCAGCUCAAACAUGGUGAUUCAGUUGCGUAUUUACUACUUUCAUGAAUGCUUAGGCUAGCUGUAGUGGCGUUUGCCAAGUUGCUGCCCCAAGGCAAAGCGGAUGCAGAAACGCCUCAGUUUUGCACAGUCCGCGCCCUGUACAGAAGUCAUCAAGUCAAGUCUCUUACCGGCUGGGGGCAUAAUUUGCUGCUGGGAGCGAGGUGCUGUUGGCCUGAGCUGCAAGAGCUGGAGAACGAUGGACAACAUAUGGUAACCAGUUCAUGUCAGUCACAGUUCAGGGGAAAGCCAAACGUUUCACGUUAUGUGAUGUAUCGGCGGACGUGUGUCACAGUUGACCACGAUGCUAUUUUUAAAUCAAUGAAUAUAAAAUGUGUUGAUCCGAUCGGCCGAUCGCUUGUCAUCCUGAAAGUUGAAGCUUCACAGUUCUGAAAUUCUGUCUCACUGAGCUUUCCUCUGCCAUUUUGUAGUGUUCCGAUGUUGUCAGCGAGCAUUUUGAGUUUGUUGAGUUUCUUUCUGGAAAGGAGGUGGAAUUAUCGGGUUGGAAUGAUCUGGCCAGCGGUGUGUACCGGCUGCCGGCUGUAGGCUCCCAACGGGCACGUGGGAGCCGGUGGCGCGGCCGCCACAGGCUAUCGUUCGCCGCCCACUUCCAACUCCGCCUACCGUGUCCAAUGUCCCCAGACUAAACCGACCCGGUGUCGCGCCGGCACGCGUCCCCGGUCGCCGGCGGCGUCACGCAUCCCCAAAAACAGAACCGCCGCACCGGUCAAACACUGACGUCGCACCAACACAUCUCGUCCGGGCCGGUGCAGCUGCCCACGGGUCCUUCCGGGCAGCUUCCCGCGUCAUCUCGGCCGUUCGUUUGCGUACCGACGGCCCGGGAUCGCCCUUGCCGGAUUUCCUCGCUGCCGCCUGCCCACCGCAGCGCAUUAUUGCCAGCCUUGCCGCACGCGGAUAAAUCAAACUCGCCGCGCCGGAAAGCGACCGCAGAGCCGGCCCGUCUCCUCUCCUCCUCGAUAUAUGACCACCAGCACUGUGUUUCCCACGCCUAACCACUCCGACGCGUGACAGCCGCCGGCGCCGAUCUGACCAGCCUCCCUCCGCCUGCCUCGCACGCGCGCCGGGGAAAGGGAAAGGGAAAGGGAGAGAGGAUCAGAGGAAGAUGUGCUGCUGUUGCGGCGGCGGCGACCGCGACCACGACCACGGCUGCCGGCCGCUCGGGUUCCUGCUCGGCCUGCCCUUCGCGCUCCUCGCCGUCCUCGUCUCCAUCGUCGGCGCCAUCAUCUGGAUCAUCGGGCUGCCCAUCUCGUGCAUCUGCCCGUGCUGCCUGUGCGUGACGCUGCUGCUGGAGGCGGCGGUGGAGCUCGUCAAGGCGCCGCUGCACGUCAUGACGUGGUUCACCUCCAAGAUACCCUGCUGAUUCCGCGGUGACCAGGGGCCGCUCGCUCGCCCCCUCGCUCAUGGCUUAGUCGUCGCUGCACAUGCCCGCAGAUUCUUGUUGUUUUUUCCCACCUGGAAACAUAUAUGUUCGCGGAUUGAUUGGUGUAUAUUCGUACCGUGGCUGAUGAUUCCUGCUCGUUUCCCCCUCUGGUUCGAUCGUUUCUGUGAUCCCUUCCGGAUGUUUGGUGAUUGUGACUUUACUUUUCGCGACUGUUAGCGACUGCAUGUAGUUCUGUUUCCGUCAGUUUCUUCGGCUGUUGGUUAUUCACUUAUUUGUCAGCGAUUGCUAUGGACGAUGUCUACCGUGUGCUCUUGUUGAUUAGGCUUGUAUACAAUGCAAGUCUGUUAGGGAAGAUGCUUAGAAAAAUAAAUCAGUAUUUCUUUAAGCACGGGUGCUUAUUGUAGACGCUUAAUCAAGCGUCUCUCCUAUGAAAAUAGACCAUGGUGUUUC
rnacentral:rRNA from 1 species